rnacentral:rRNA from 1 species
AUUGAACGCUGGCGGCAGGCCUAACACAUGCAAGUCGAGCGAGCGGCGGCCGGGUGAGUAAUGUAUGGGGACUGCCCGAUAGAGGGGGAUAACUCCUGGCAACGGUGGCUAAUACCCAAAACUAUCGGAUACCCAAUAUGGGAUUAGCUAUUAGGUGAGGUAAUGGCUCACCUAGUCGACGAUCCCUAGCUGGUCUGAGAGGAUGAUCAACCACACUGGGACUGAGACACGGCCCAGACUCCUACGGAGGCAGCAGUGGGGAAUAUUGCACAAUGGGCGCAAGCCUGAUGCAGCCAUGCCGCGUGUAUGAAGAAGGCCCUAGGGUUGUAAAGUACUUUCAGUCGGGAGGCGUUACCGACAGAAGAAGCACCGGCUAACUCCGUGCCAGCAGCCGCGGUAAUAC